UUCGGAGCGGAGGACCUCUUCAAGGAGGACAAAGAGGAAGAUUCAGCUGCUGCAGAAACUGAAAAUAUGACUGACUUGGAUGCAAUUCUUGCA
rnacentral:ribozyme from 1 species